rnacentral:lncRNA from 1 species
AUGCUUACAACUAUGGAUGGGGAGGAUUUCACUCGUCCUGUAAAUUCAGAUGCAGUCAAGAAAUACUUCGCCUAAAAAAAAUAAAAACAGAAUGACUCGCUAAGUUAAAAACCUGAAAGGGCGGCUUUGGCAAAAAUGAGCGUCUCGGUGGAUUGAAAACCCGAAAGGGCGAUCCAGGCAAAAGUUAGAGACAUAAAAAAAGGAAUAUU